rnacentral:ncRNA from 2 species
UCCUGCGCCGAUAGUUACGAUGCUGCUGUAAUCGACAGGCAAAGGAACCUGGUGAGAAUCCAGGACGGCCGCGCCACUGUUAAAAGUCAGACCCUGACCUGUCAUGACACGGACUGGGAC